rnacentral:rRNA from 1 species
UCUGGAGAACGGGAGGCAGCAAUGGGGAAUUUUGGACAAUGGGCGCAAGCCUGAUCCAGCCAUGCCGCGUGUCUGAAGAAGGCCUUCGGGUUGUAAAGGACUUUUGUCAGGGAAGAAAAGGACAGGGUUAAUACCCCUGUCUGAUGACGGUACCUGAAGAAUAAGCACCGGCUAACUACGUGCCAGCAGCCGCGGUAAUACGUAGGGUGCGAGCGUUAAUCGGAAUUUCUGGGCGUAAAGCGAGCGCAGACGGUUACUUAAGCAGGAUGUGAAAUCCCCGGGCUCAACCUGGGAACUGCGUUCUGAACUGGGUGACUAGAGUGUGUCAGAGGGAGGUAGAAUUCCACGUGUAGCAGUGAAAUGCGUAGAGAUGUGGAGGAAUACCGAUGGCGAAGGCAGCCUCCUGGGAUAACACUGACGUUCAUGCUCGAAAGCGUGGGUAGCAAACAGGAUUAGAAACCCCGGUAGUCCAGAAGUG